GACGGCAGCACGAGUAAGUUUACUUACUUGGUGGCGAGUGGCGGACGGGUGAGUAACGCGUAGGAAUAUGCCCUGAAGAGUGGGAUAGCUUGGGGAAACUCAGGGUAAUACCGCAUAUAAUCUUAGGAUGAAAGCUGGGGACCGCAAGGCCUGGCGCUUUAGGAGUAGCCUGCGUCUGAUUAGCUAGUUGGUGUGGUAAAGGCGCACCAAGGCGACGACCGGUAGCUGGUCUGAGAGGAUGGACAGCCACACUGGGACUGAGACACGGCCCAGACUCCUACGGGAGGCAGCAGUGGGGGAUAUUGGACAAUGGGGGAAACCCUGAUCCAGCGAUGCCGCGUGUGUGAAGAAGGCCUGCGGGUUGUAAAGCACUUUCAGUGGGGAGGAGGGUAAGCGAGUUAAAAGCUAGAGUUACUGGACGUUACCCACAGAAGAAGCACCGGCAAACUCCGUGCCAGCAGCCGCGGUAAUACGGAGGGUGCGAGCGUUAAUCGGAAUUACUGGGCGUAAAGGGUGCGUAGGCGGUUUAGUAAGUUAUUUGUGAAAUACAUGGGCUUAACCUAUGUGCUGCAAAUAAUACUGUUAAGCUAGAGUAUGGUAGAGGGUAGUGGAAUUUCCGGUGUAGCGGUGAAAUGCGUAGAGAUCGGGAGGAACACUGGUGGCGAAGGCGGCUACCUGNACCAAUACUGACGCUGAGGCACGAAAGCGUGGGGAGCAAACAGGAUUAGAUACCCUGNNAGUCCAUGCUGUAAACGAUGUCAACUAGCUGUUUGUACCAUGAAUGGUAUGAGUAGCGCANCAAACGCGAUAAGUUGACCGCCUGGGGAGUANGGUCGCAAGAUUAAAACUUNAANGNAUUGACGGGGGCCCGCACANCGGUGGAG
rnacentral:rRNA from 1 species